rnacentral:rRNA from 1 species
UACGUAGGGGGCAAGCGUUGUCCGGAUUCAUUGGGCGUAAAGAGCGUGUAGGCGGCCAGGUAGGUCGGUUGUGAAAACUGGAGGCUCAACCUUCAGAGGUCGACCGAAACCAUCUGGCUAGAGUCCGGGAGAGGAGAGUGGAAUUCCUGGUGUAGCGGUGAAAUGCGCAGAUAUCAGGGAGAACACCCGUGGCGAAAGCGGCUCUCUGGAACGGUACUGACGCUGAGACGCGAAAGCUAGGGGAGCGAACGGG